rnacentral:rRNA from 1 species
GACGAACGCUGGCGGCGUGCUUAACACAUGCAAGUCGAACGGAAAGGCCCUGCUUUUGUGGGGUGCUCGAGUGGCGAACGGGUGAGUAACACGUGAGUAACCUGCCCUUGACUUUGGGAUAACUUCAGGAAACUGGGGCUAAUACCGGAUAGGAGCUCCUGCUGCAUGGUGGGGGUUGGAAAGUUUCGGCGGUUGGGGAUGGACUCGCGGCUUAUCAGCUUGUUGGUGGGGUAGUGGCUUACCAAGGCUUUGACGGGUAGCCGGCCUGAGAGGGUGACCGGCCACGUUGGGACUGAGAUACCGCCCGAUCUCCUACUGGGAGCAGCAUUAAGGGAUGGUGCACGAGAAGCGGAAGCCUGAUGCAUCGACCCCACGUGCCGAAUAGCGGCCUUCGGGUUGUAAACCGCUUUCGCCUGUUACUAACCGUAAUUGACAGUAAUAGGUAAAGAGCCACCUGCUAACUACGUG